rnacentral:rRNA from 1 species
GAUGAACGCUGGCGGCGUGCUUAACACAUGCAAGUCGAACGAAGCACUUUAUUUGAUUUCCUUCGGGACUGAUUAUUUUGUGACUGAGUGGCGGACGGGUGAGUAACGCGUGGGUAACCUGCCUUGUACAGGGGGAUAACAGUUGGAAACGGCUGCUAAUACCGCAUAAGCGCACGGCAUCGCAUGAUGCAGUGUGAAAAACUCCGGUGGUAUAAGAUGGACCCGCGUUGGAUUAGCUAGUUGGUGAGGUAACGGCCCACCAAGGCGACGAUCCAUAGCCGACCUGAGAGGGUGACCGGCCACAUUGGGACUGAGACACGGCCCAAACUCCUACGGGAGGCAGCAGUGGGGAAUAUUGCACAAUGGGCGAAAGCCUGAUGCAGCGAUGCCGCGUGAGCGAAGAAGUAUUUCGGUAUGUAAAGCUCUAUCAGCAGGGAAGAUAAUGACGGUACCUGACUAAGAAGCACCGGCUAAAUACGUG